rnacentral:rRNA from 1 species
AAUGAACGCUCGCGGUAGGCCUAACACAUGCAAGUUGAACGCAUACUUUUACAGUAUAAGUAGCAAACGGGUGAGUAACGCGUGAGAAAUCUACCUUACAAUCUGGGAUAAAAUCCCGGAUUCUUUCUAAACUAGAUGUUCCGACAAAUAGUAUAGAAAAAAGAUUAAAUGUCGUUGUAAGAUGUGCUCGCGUAGGAUUAGGUAGUUGGUGAGGUAAAAGCUACACCAAGCCGAAGAUCCUUAGCUGGUCUGAGAGGAUGAUCAGCCACACUGGGACUGAGACACGGCCCAGACGCUUUCGAGCGGCAGCAGUGAGGAAUUUUGGACAAUGGGCGAAAGCCUGAUCCAGCCAUAUCGCAUGAGUGAAGAAGGCUCAAUUGGUUGUAAAGCUCUGAUUUGAGUGAAGAUUAUGACAUAAGAUCAAAGAAUAGUCCCGGCUAACUUCGUG